rnacentral:pre_miRNA from 1 species
ACAAGAAUCACCUGGGGAGCUUAUUAAAUUGCAGAUUCUGAUUCAAUGGGUCUAGAAUGGGCCCAAUGUUUUGCAUUUCUAGCAAAUUUUCAAAUGAUGCCAGU